CCUACGGGGAGCAGCAGUGGGGAAUAUUGCGCAAUGGGCGAAAGCCUGACGCAGCGACGCCGCGUGAGGGAUGAAGGUCUUCGGAUCGUAAACCUCUGUCAGCAGGGAAGAACGGUCACUGUGCUAAUCAGCAGUGAAUUGACGGUAACUGCAAAGGAAGCACCGGCUAACUCCGUGCCAGCAGCCGCGGUAAUACGGAGGGUGCGAGCGUUAAUCGGAUUUACUGGGCGUAAAGCGCUCGUAGGCGGUAUGUCAAGUCAAGGGUGAAAGCCCCGCGCUCAACGGGGGAACUGCCUUUGAGACUGGCAACCUGGAGUGUGGGAGAGGAUAGUGGAAUUCCAGGUGUAGGAGUGAAAUCCGUAGAUAUCUGGAGGAACAUCAGUGGCGAAGGCGACUAUCUGGCACAUAACUGACGCUGAGGAGCGAAAGCGUGGGUAGCAAACAGGAUUAGAUACCCGAGUAGUC
rnacentral:rRNA from 1 species